rfam:Alicyclobacillus hesperidum TRH17-3-68 TRH17368ctg54, whole genome shotgun sequence.
GGCCCCAUGGUCAAGUGGUUAAGACACCGCCCUUUCACGGCGGUAACGCGGGUUCGAAUCCCGCUGGGGUCA